GAUGAACGCUGGCGGCGUGCCUAAUACAUGCAAGUCGAACGCUGGAGAUCUAGCUUGCUAGAUCGAAGGAGUGGCGAACGGGUGAGUAAUACAUAAGCAACCUACCCACGAAGACUGGGAUAAUCUCUGGAAACGGGGACUAAUACCGGAUAGGUAAUCGGAAGGCAUCUUCUGGUUAUUAAAGGUUAAAAACACUGGUGGAUGGGCUUAUGGCGCAUUAGUUAGUUGGUGAGGUAACGGCCCACCAAGACGAUGAUGCGUAGCCGGCCUGAGGGGGUGAACGGCCACAUUGGGACUGAGACACGGCCCAGACUCCUACGGGAGGCAGCAGUAGGGAAUGUUCGGCAAUGGGGGCAACCCUGACCGAGCAACGCCGCGUGAGUGAAGACGGCCUUCGGGAUGUAAAGCUCUGUUGUAAGGGAAGAACGGUAGAUAGAGAAUAUCUAAGUGACGGUACCUUACCAGAAAGCCACGGCUAACUACGUG
rnacentral:rRNA from 1 species